GCCAGUGUGGCAAAGUGGUUUGAGUACUAGACUAUGACUUUGGAGUUCAGGGUUCAAAUUUCCACUUUGGGA